rnacentral:rRNA from 1 species
GACGAACGCUGGCGGCGUGCUUAACACAUGCAAGUCGAACGGAAAGGCCCUGCUUUUGUGGGGUGCUCGAGUGGCGAACGGGUGAGUAACACGUGAGUAACCUGCCCUUGACUUUGGGAUAACUUCAGGAAACUGGGGCUAAUACCGGAUAGGAGCUCCUGCUGCAUGGUGGGGGUUGGAAAGUUUCGGCGGUUGGGGAUGGACACGCGGCUUAUCAGCUUGUGGGUGGGGUAGUGGCUUACCAAGGCGUUGACGGGUAGCCGGCCGGAGAGGGUGACCGGCCACAUUGGGACUGAGAUGCGGCCCAGACUCCUACGGGAGGCAGCAGUGGGGAAUAUUGCACAAUGGGCGGAAGCCUGAUGCAGCAACGCCGCGUGCGGGAUGACGGCCUUCGGGUUGUAAACCGCUUUCGCCUGUGACGAAGCGUGAGUGACGGUAAUGGGUAAAGAAGCACCGGCUAACUACGUG